rnacentral:rRNA from 1 species
UGAGCUCAGGCAAGAUUACCCGCUGAACUUAAGCAUAUCAAUAAGCGGAGGAAAAGAAACUAACAAGGAUUCCCCUAGUAACGGCGAGCGAACCGGGAACAGCCCAACUUGAAAAUCUCCCUUUGGAGAAUUGUAGUCUAUAGAAGUACCCUCUGCAGCGGGCGGAAUCCAAGUCUCCUGGAAAGGGGCGUCAGAGAGGGUGAGAACCCCGUCGAUUCCUGCCUUAGCUGCUCCACGAGGUGCUUUCAGAGAGUCGGGUUGCUUGGGAAUGCAGCCCUAAUUUGGUGGUAAAUCCCAUCUAAGGCUAAAUAUUGGCGAGAGACCGAUAGCGAACAAGUACCGUGAGGGAA